GAUGAGCGCUGGCGGCGUGCCUAAUACAUGCAAGUCGAGCGAACGGACGAGAAGCUUGCUUCUCUGAUGUUAGCGGCGGACGGGUGAGUAACACGUGGAUAACCUACCUAUAAGACUGGGAUAACUUCGGGAAACCGGAGCUAAUACCGGAUAAUAUUUUGAACCGCAUGGUUCAAAAGUGAAAGACGGUCUUGCUGUCACUUAUAGAUGGAUCCGCGCUGCAUUAGCUAGCUGGUAAGGUAACGGCUUACCAAGGCAACGAUGCAUAGCCGACCUGAGAGGGUGAUCGGCCACACUGGAACUGAGACACGGUCCAGACUCCUACGGGAGGCAGCAGUAGGGAAUCUUCCGCAAUGGGCGAAAGCCUGACGGAGCAACGCCGCGUGAGUGAUGAAGGUCUUCGGAUCGUAAAACUCUGUUAUUAGGGAAGAACAUAUGUGUAAGUAACUGUGCACAUCUUGACGGUACCUAAUCAGAAAGCCACGGCUAACUACGUG
rnacentral:rRNA from 1 species